rnacentral:rRNA from 1 species
UACGUAGGGGGCAAGCGUUGUCCGGAUUUAUUGGGCGUAAAGAGCGUGUAGGCGGCCAGACAAGUCUGCUGUGAAAACUCGAGGCUCAACCUCGAGCUGUCGGUGGAAACUGUCUGGCUAGAGUCCGGAAGAGGAGAGUGGAAUUCCUGGUGUAGCGGUGAAAUGCGCAGAUAUCUGGAGGAACACCGGUGGCGAAGGCGGCAUUCUGGACCGACAUUGACGCUGAGGAGCGAAAGCCAGGGGAGCAAACGGG